GACGAGGGGUCCAAGCGUUGUUCGGAAUCAUUGGGCGUAAAGCGGGUGUAGGUGGCUCUCUAAGUCAGAAGUGAAAGCCCCAGGCUUAACCUGGGAAGUGCUUUUGAUACUGGAGAGCUUGAAUGUGGGAGAGGGUAGUGGAAUUCCAGGUGUAGUGGUGAAAUACGUAGAUAUCUGGAGGAACACCGGUGGCGAAGGCGGCUACCUGGCCCAACAUUGACACUGAGACCCGAAAGCGUGGGGAUCAAACAGG
rnacentral:rRNA from 1 species